UAUCCUGGCUCAGAUUGAACGCUGGCGGCAUGCUUUACACAUGCAAGUCGAACGGCAGCGCGGGGCGAACCUGGCGGCGAGUGGCGAACGGGUGAGUAAUAUAUCGGAACGUACCCAAGAGUGGGGAUAACGUAAGCGAAAGUUACGCUAAUACCGCAUACGAUCCAAGGAUGAAAUGGGGAUUCGCAAGAACCUCAUGCUCCUGGAGCGGCCGAUAUCUGAUUAGCUAGUUGGUGAGGUAAAGGCUCACCAAGGCGACGAUCAGUAGCUGGUCUGAGAGGACGACCAGCCACACUGGAACUGAGACACGGUCCAGACUCCUACGGGAGGCAGCAGUGGGGAAUUUUGGACAAUGGGCGCAAGCCUGAUCCAGCAACGCCGCGUGAGUGAAGAAGGCCUUCGGGUUGUAAAGCUCUUUUGUCAGGGAAGAAACGGUUGAGGCUAAUAUCCUUGGCUAAUGACGGUACCUGAAGAAUAAGCACCGGCUAACUACGUG
rnacentral:rRNA from 1 species